GCAAGCGUUGUUCGGAAUUACUGGGCGUAAAGGGCUCGUAGGCGGCCAACUAAGUCAGACGUGAAAUCCCUCGGCUUAACCGGGGAACUGCGUCUGAUACUGGAUGGCUUGAGUUCGGGAGAGGGAUGCGGAAUUCCAGGUGUAGCGGUGAAAUGCGUAGAUAUCUGGAGGAACACCGGUGGCGAAGGCGGCAUCCUGGACCGACACUGACGCUGAGGAGCGAAAGCCAGGGGAGCAAACGGG
rnacentral:rRNA from 1 species